UUUUUAGAUCAGAUUUCAAAUAUGCAAAACGGAAGUGAACAUAUCUUUUUCAAACCCAAUUUCAAGAUCAUAAAUGCAGUGCGUGUGUAUGUGUGUGUGUGUGUAUGCGUGUGCACUCCUUUCUGUGCAUGUGGACAUAGGACAUAUAGACCGGUCUUCUUUUGCACUUUGGAAGAAGCUUUUUCUAAAUAUGUAUGUCCUCAGCAUUUAUCAGUGAGACCACAGUAUAAAAGGAUGGAUCUUCAUGUUUAACAUGUAACUAACAAAAAAUCAGAGGCCAUCGAGUUGGAAGAAAUCUUCGCAGUAGAGGUCAUUGGCUCAUCCUUCCACCCUGUCAGGACUCUUUUCAGUGGCAGCCCUGAUGGAGGAUCCAGAUAUCCCCAUGAAGUUUAGUUAAGACACCUAGAGGAUUUCUGUCUUGUUUGCCACUGGGCCAUCUGAGGAUGCGAGAGGCUGAAGUAAGGGUGUGAGCCAAAAAAGGAGAAGAGCCGCCAAAUAGCUUUUAUGUGUAAUCAAUACAGAACAAUUCAAUGGCAAUAAGAAUUACUACAUCUCCCCUUGGGCCCUCUGCCUUGUCUUCUAAAGCCAGCCACAUUAAGUUUAGAGCGAUUCAGUGCUUAGAUUGUUGGAAAUAGGCAUGUCAGAGAAAUGCAAAAGUUGCACUGGCAUUUGAGAUUUGCUCUGCCCUUCAGCAGGGAUGGAAAUCUUACCUCCCAUUACAUCUGUCCAGGUCAUCCAGGAGUCUUCAGCCGCCCUCAGCUGUUGGGAGCCAUUGUACACACUUUCUUUCUUUGUAAAUAUUUUUUCAAAUUUUUUUUUAAAGAAUUAAUACACAUUCUCAUCUGUAAAGGUUGAAACUCUCGUCUGCCAUCUCUCCCUGCCCUUCAUGGAAUUGCCUCUCCCUUAUGGAGCACAGCUGAGAAGUGUUCACUUAUGCUGUAUAGAAAAGGAUUUCCAUGUGACAGAUGGAAAAUUUCAAACUACAAAAGUGACCUGAAAAUUGCACAGAGCACUUACUAACCGCUGAUGGGUCUCAGCCAUGAAUAAUUAUUGAUCUGUGGGUCUGGAAAUUGGGUAGUUAAUGCUAGGAAGGGUGCAAAAUACACAUUUUAGGAGAAAGUAGAUAAUUUUUGUGUUUCCAAUCUAUGUGGUCACAUUUUAAGUAUUUGCCACUGUAUGUUUCUUUUAAAAAGAAAACAACGUAGUUACUUUUUAUAUGUCAAAAGAUAACAAUUGAUAAUGUGCAUCAGUUUUAAGAAAAUCUCCUAUUUUGUCCUUGUUACACCAUUGGCUAGAGCAGCCACUAGAAAAAUAGAGAGCUAACUAAAUUUUUAGAGAGAAACCAGCGUUGAGAUGUAUAUUAAGGUAGAGAAGCCCCUUUCCCUUAAAUUGUAUAUGAAAUACUUGCCUGGAACUUUUCAUCACUCUCCCCAUGUUUAAUGGAAUAUUCAGUACCCAAAAGCACUAAAAACAUAUCAUCUAUUGUUUCUGUGUCUAGUGAUAUGAAUAUAAUAAGAAUGAAACCCAACUAAUCAUAUAGCAUAGAAGAAGGAAAACCAGCAUUUCCCAUGUACCUACUAUGCAUGAGGCAUCAUGCUAGGAUAAGAGUAACUCCAAGCCUGCUGUGAGGAGUAAAUCAAACAAUGGGUAUAAAGAACAUAGAACAACAACAUAUGUUUAGCAGAGAUUUAAUACAUUUUACUUAUUUAUAUCAGGUAAUGCGUGUUUCUUUUCUUUUCUUUUUUAAAGUUACAACAACUUUGUUAUUUAAUACUGAAACAUGUUUCUCAUUCCCUGUUAAUACAGUAAUUAGCCCAAAAUUCAAACAUUACAGAAAGAAAAAAGGGAAAAAGCAAAUGUCUCCCAAAACCAGCCACCAUCAGCAUUUUGUUGACGAUUCUUGCAUACCCAUCUCUUCCUCUACACUCACGCAUAUAUAAGUUUACAUAGUGGCAUCUUACUUCUUAUGCAUUUUGUUAUCUGACUUUUGAAUUCAACAGCAUGUCCUGGUGUUUGCAAGGUAGACAUCAUUAUUUUCAUUCAGGGGAGUUGAGAAAUUUAAGGCUCAGAGAGGUUGUGCACACCUUCCCAAGGUCAGUCAUUUUGCUACCAAGGGAGAAAAGCUAAAAUUUGAAUUUUAAUCUAACUAAUCCAAACCCAUGCUCUUUCCACACAAAGAAGUAACAUAGAGUAAUUGCAAAUUUCCCUUAAGAAAAAUUCAAUUGUACACAAAUUUACUUAUAUAAACCUUUUUAGCAACUUGUUUCCAGUACAUAUGAAUGGCAAGCUAGUCCUGUUGGGAGUAAUUUUAAAAAGAGAAACUGGGGUUUGGGAAUAGAAAGGGGAGGUAAAACAGAUGGCAAAAAAAGGAGAAGAUUUUGCACUGUGGCCUUGGGAAAGAUAAGGGAAGAUGAAGGGAAAUCAUUCCAACCUUAGAACUGUGCCUUUCUCUGAGGAGGGAGCCACAACGUGUUGAGGAGGGCAAAGCCGCAACAGGAGCCUAGGCGAGAAGUUAACAUUUGCAGACCUAAGCAAUCUAUUUCCAGGGGCGUUUCGGGAGAGAAGAGCACUAAAUACUUCCUCGGCAGAGAACAAUUGAGGGUCUCCAAUGCCUUUCCCAUCUCAGGCAGUCAAGUCUCUGCUUCUGACUCCACUGAAAAGACUGGAAGGAGCAUCAAAGAAGAGGAGCUCCAGCCAUAAAAUCAAAAAAGCAUGAAACAUUUGGUUGGAGGAUGAGAAAGACACAUAAAAAUUCUUGUUAGCAUGCAUAUUACCUUUAAUUAAUAUUUAUCUCUACCUUUAAACAUGCUUAUUAGCAUGCAUAUUGGAGUACAACAAAUUGGCAACCACCAGUUUUCAGGAGAGCUAUCUUGAAAAGUUUCAAUUAAGCUAAACAUGGCAAGGGAAAUAAAUGUACAUGUAUUAUUACUAAUUUAGUGUGAGAAAAGUCACCAACUGACUAUAUUUGGUGUUUAUUUCUGCAGUUAAAUUUUCCUUUUAGAAAUAUAUUUAUAGGAGAUUUUAUAUGAAUAUUUCUGACCUUUGUCUUCAUUCUAUUUUCCCCCUUAAGGUCUUCAUUUCCUCAAAAGUGAAUUCUCUCACCGCAGGAGUUUUCCAGAUCCUUUCUCACUUCCCUGUAUUAGCCAGCCACUUACACUGAAAUAAUGACAUGGAAGGACAGGAAAAGAUGGGACAACCUAUUUUCCUUUCAGCCCUUCCUUACUCAUUAGUAAGCCAAAGGUAGAAAGCACUAAUAAAAUGUGCUCAUAUUAAGAAGUGAAAGAAGAUAAAACAGUUGACCUAAUUCAGUGCUAGGUUUCCACUGUUCUGGUUAGAACAAAAUAUAUAUGUAUGCAUGAACUAACAAAUACAAUCUGUGAAGUUUUAGUGAUUCUGCACACAUGUUAAAUGUUCUUAUAUUUAAUUUAAAAUGGGCAUUGCACACUUGAUUUUCAAUCUAAGAUAUUCUAUCGCUAGUUUAUUACUUUGGGCAAGUUAUCUAAAAAUCUGUGAUCCUAUAUUCUGUCUUUAAAAUGAAAGUAAUAAUAUUUACUUUCCAGUGUUUCAGUGUGAAUAACUGAGAUACUCUAAGUAGUAGUUAUUGAUCUCAACAAUCAUUUAUUUGGCUUCUAAUAUAUGCCAGAGCAUUUGAAAUUCAAAAUAAAAUAUAGUUUCUGACCUCAAGAAAUUCAUCAUUCAAUGGAAGAGACAAGAUUAUAUACAUAUAAUUAGAAUGAGAUGUAGAAGUGCCAAUAGAGGUAGGUGCAAAACACUAGGGAAAAAAGAAAAGCAUCAUUCUGGUGGAUGGGUGAGGUUUCUCCAGGUAGACAAGAUGGGUAGUUGUUCCCAUCAGCAGGAAGGGCGGUGAAAAGACAUGAUGUGGUGCAGCAACAUGGCUCGCUGAACAGCCAAGAGGAGGUGGAAGAGGCAACAAGAAAUGGGCUCCAGGGCCUGAUCACAUUCACCUGGUAAGAAAUUUGAAUUUCUAUUGCAGUUUGUCUCUUAAAUAUGAUCUUUCUCUGAUACACCAUGAUCAACUGGUUUGCAAAAUAAGAACUUUGUAUCACCCAACUGAAUUUUCCUGGUGGACAGAUUUUCCAGAUUUCUAAAGAAUGGGUGUUUGACCAUAAAGUAGCUGGUAUCCUCUGUAUUGUCAUCAACCCUGACACAGAAAUUCACAAGGAAUAACAGCAUCUAGAAUUUUCUGUUCAGGCUAUUUAUAGAACAAAACCAGAGCAGUUAUAGGAGUUAUGUUAUUCACCCAGGAUGACAUCCCAAUUCAUUCAUUCACUCAUCUUGCAAAGGUUGCCUGGCCCUGCUCAGGCUGCAGGGUGGGGCUGACAUGCCCCCACCUCCAGAUGUCGAGCUGCUUCAUAAUCACCGCAGUGGCACCUCACACUGUCCCAUUAGAGAGGCGCGUGCAGCCCGCUUGUUGGGCAUGUUGAUGCAAGCUUGGGAAGGAAAACAUAAUUCACUUUUGCCAGUGACAGAAAUGUUAACACUUACUUGAAAUAGCUGAUAAUCUGACACAGGAGAGUUAAAGGAUUACUGUAUUUCAUUUGGCUAAUAAGAAAAGCUGUUUAAAAGCCAUGUUAAAAAGACUUAAUGUAUGGUGACUGAGCAUUGCUUUAAUGUAUUCUGUGUCAUCAACUAUUAGAAUGAUUUUCCCCUCUUAUAUUGCCAUAGAUUUUAGCCUCUUUUCUCUGGGAAGAAAUAAUAGAAAGCAGCAUCCAUUCAACAGAGACUUUCCAAAGAAACAUUCAUUCUAUAAGUAUUUCUUGAGCACCUACUGUGUGCCAUUCACCACACUAGGCAUUUGGGGUUCAAGGUCUCAGACUUCUCAACAAGGGCAUGUUUUUUGGAAAGAAUUGAUGGGGGAAGACAGUGGACAAAAGAUAUUGAAAAAUCCUGUUUGGGAUUUAGUUGAUAUAUGAAAUAAUCUUAUUUAACUCUCAUUUACUAGAUGAGGAAACUGAGGCCUAGAUGCCAAGUGACUUAGGGACGGGGCAUGGCUAAUUAGUGGGAAACCCUGGCCUGGAUCCAUGAUCUUUUGCUUCUCAUUUUGAUGCUGGAGCACAAUCUCCUGCAGUCACAAGAAAGAACUAUGAAAGGAUGUGUUUGCAGCAGGGCAAGAAGCCCAGUAAAGCAAAAUCCCACGGGGCUCCAGAGUCCCUCAGCAUCCACAAGGAGCACUACAGUCCAUGACAAAGAUGCCUUCAGUUCUGUCCACACUACUCAAGAACAGGCUGCUUCACCCUCUUGCACUGGAGGGUUGCCCUCUUUCUGGUGGUUUCUCCUGGCCCAGUGCCCCUUCUUGCUAUCCAGGGCACUUUCAGCACAGAAGACAUUAUCAGGAAAUAGAUACAUUCCCCCACCCCCACCUCACCAGUCAGCAAAAUUGCUCUUUCUACAGCUGAAAUACUCAGGUCUAAAGCCAAGCAACUUCCUUCCUUCCUUCCUUUCUCUCUCUCACUUGCUCUUUCUUUCUUUCCUUCUUUCUUUCUUUCUUUCUUCCUUCCUUCUUUCCUUCCUUCCUUUCUUUCUUUCAUUCUUUCUUUCUAUUUCUCCUUCUUACCUUUUAGUGUGUGCCUCAUAUUCAAGGUACCAGGUACCAUUCCUCCUUCUCAGGACUUGGAGCUCCCUAUCUCCCUGAGGUCUUGAGAUCCAAAGGCAACAUGACUCCAUUCUCAGAUAAGACAGAAAAACUUCUCCCCAAACCCUUGGGAUCCUUACUCCCCCACAAUGGCAGGGUUGUGUGUUCCUUCGCCAAAAGAUUACUAUUGCAGGGGUUAAAACUGACAAGGGAACCUGGAAACUAAUGCAAAUGCUUAGUGGUUCCCCCUUCUGCCUGCCCUAAUUUUUAGGUGAGUGUGGCCCACCUUGGUGACAACAAGGAGCAGGAAGCAAUUGAUGUGGUUAAUGCAUUAGAGCCACCUCAAAUCAGCGUUCUUUCAUACAGAGGUGAUCACAAGCAGUGGCCACACAGGUUAAGCCAUGUGGAUCUACAGACACCUCAUUUACUUUUACUACAAUGUCAGAAAUUCCUGAGAUUAUGGGCUCAGUAAAUUGAUCUAAAUAAUUCAAGAUUAUUAUUCCCGUAAUUCUAUUCUUCACCUGCUGCAUAAACUAAAUUCUUCUUUACAUCCUCCCCUAAAUUGGACCUAACCAUCCCCUAAAUUGGACAUUAAAAACCACGUGUUUUCCCACCCUUAAUUUUUGUUUGCUGCAUUUACAAAAGGCAUUCUUUGUUGUAAUUUCAUUGACAUAAGGAGUUUCAUUACCUUCACCACUCCAUGUAUCUGGCACAGCUUCCUUUUGGAUCAGCUUUGCCCUUGACCCACCUCACUCCUGAGGUCCCAAAAAGGCAAACACACUCGUGUCUCCCACUCAUUGCGUUGUCUGUCACACCCACUGCCUCACAUAAAUUCACUAACUUAGCAUAUCAUGUUCCUGUGAAACAAAUUAAUACAUUUCCCCCCUCCCACAAAAGAGGUUUACUUCUAAUCAAUCUUAAGAAAUACUAAUAAUCUUAACACUAUAAAAUCUCUAUCGUUUAUGAUGUACUUACCAUGGGCCAGGCCUGGUGCUAAAUGCCUUAUAUGUAUUACCAUGGUUAAUUCUCACAAUAAUAAUAAUAAAAUGAAAUAAUUAUUUUUAUUUCACAAAUGAGGCUCAAUGAGGUUGGGUAAAUUAUCCAAAGUUAUUCCAGUUAUAAUUAUUUACACCGAUCUUCAAAUCUAGGUCCUUGUGACUCAAAGCCCACUGGUUUAUCAGUUCCCCCUAGCUUAACUUCUAAUUUGUUCUCCUGGAGCACUGCACAGAAGUCAAAAUACUUGGUUCUGAGUGGUGAGCCUUGGUCAUUAACCCUGAUUCUCAGAGAAGUUGACAUUUUCCAGAUUCUACAGUCUCUGUGCCUUUGCAGCCCGCCUUCCUGGGAAAGAGAAUGUUUAGUUCUCAGAAUUUUUGUUCCAAUUAAGUAAAGCCAUGGUUGUGUCUUUUAGAAAUUGAAAAACAAAACAAAAUUCUAUCUAUAGUAUUUGGAUGAACCAGCUAAGUUGAAGGUACAUUUUAUCCUGGAAAGAGAGGGAUAGAGUUGGCGUUAGAAGACUUUCAUUCAUUUACCAGCUCCACCAUUGAGUAUUUUUGUGAUCUUGAUCUUUCUGACCUCAAUUUCCUCAUCUGUGGAAGGGGAGAAUAUUGCCCUUCUCCAAGAAUCCUCAGGAGGAUUUAAGGAGACCCUGCUUGAGAAGGCUCUGGGCACAGUGCCUGGCAUGUCAUCUGAUGAUGUUCUUGUUGGUUUCGUUUGAGUCUUAAUUUAUCUGAAUUUCCCUGGGAUAUCUAUUUAAGAGCAAGUAAAAUCUGAAAUCAGAUCCUGAUCUCUUUACAUGUUCUUCCCUAGGCUUCAUAAAUUAAUAAAAUGUUACAUUUAUCAGCAUUCUUUAAACCCCUACAUCUGUAUUACAUGCAUAUCACAAAGUAUGUGGUUAAAAAAAAAAAGAUGUCUCCCCUCCUUAUCCUUUGGGUCUUCUCCUUGAAUUAACCCCUGUUUGAAAAUACUGGAAGCUAAAUGUGAAUAAAAAAUACAAAGUUCACCAAACUAGAACUCAGGUCAGUGUUCAGGAAACAAAAUCUUGCUUUAUUGAUACCUACAGAAAAUUCCUGGGAUAUUCACAGCUAUUCUCAGUGCUUGCUACAUCACAGAAAUGCCUGUGAUCCUCUGACCUUUUGAUCAAUUGCUCGCCUAUCAUCUAACAUCUUCUGCUAAGUGAAGAGCAGGGUAUCCCUAAGAGUAGGUAUUAAUUAUUAAUAUGUAUUAAUAAUACAUUGCAUUACCCUUUCACUGGAGUGGAGGCUUUUGGAUCUAGUCAAGUUUUAUAAAUUUUUGUCAAUUUGAAUAGGCAUGGCAUUUUUCAAUAAAUCAUUGCAGUCUGGAUCAGUUUACCCCAUGCAACCUCCAGUCAAUUGCCCAGGAAAGAGAAAUGCCUGAGUGGAGAUAUAAUGUUUUUGUUCAUUUCAAAUCUAUUCCAUCUAUUUUUUUCUAAAAACAGCACUCAAGUUUUGCUGGAAGUUCUGCCUGAGCUUAGCCUAUCCACGUGGAUCAAUUAAACAAACUGAUUCUUCCUCUGUCCUCAGAGGUGGGCAUUUGACCCAGAACUAGCCAAUUAGCAUGCAGCAUUCCACUGGUUCAGUGAUGGGCAUGUGACCCAAUCAGAACCAAUCAGAACUAAUCCCAAGACCUCCCCCUGAGCUUGGUUCCUCAUCUGAGAGAAAGAGAGUGAGAGAGAGAGAGAGUGUGUGUGUGUGCGUGCGCGUGUGUGUAUGUGUGUGUGUGUGUGUGUGAAGGGAUGUUGACAGAGGGGGACACAUUUUAUGUGGGCCCAUGUUAGAAAGAUUGGGAAGGAAGAAAAUAAUGAGCGUGAUCCUUUCCUUAAAAUUAUGAAGAAUUAUUUCUUGAAAGAUCAUUGCUACCAUUUAUGGAAGACUUUAAUCUGUGCUAGGCAGCUGUACUAAAUACUUUAUAUCAAUUAUCUCAUUUAAUUCUCACAACUGCGUGAGCUAGAUUGUACUAUUAUUAUGCACAUUUUAACAUUUUAUGCAAUAAGCAACUUGCCCAAAGUCACACAGCAAGGAAGUGAGAGAGUCAGGAUUUAAACCUAGAUCUGUCCUUCACUAACGCCCAGCUCUUCCUCUGAAUAAAUCGGUUACUUGCCAAUCUAAUUGACAGUGUACAAAGGGCUCCUAAAUUUCCCAUGAUGUGGACUUGUUAAAUCAAGUUUAUGUUAGAUGAGAAGGGAAACAAUGUUUGUCACUUUAUUCUCAUGGGAACUGAAAUAUUUUGAUCAUUGUACUUUCACAAUGGGCGUUUGAAAGAAACAAAUAUGCAGAUCAAGGCCUGUGUUCCUUCUAGCCAAACUGGCUUCAGACCUAUGUGGAAUUUAGGCAAUGGUGCCCUUCCAAUGGUAAUAGGAAAUCUAGUGUUAGCAGGUGCACUUCCCUUCAUUGAUAAAAAUCCUUUGGAAUUAUGUAAUUCAAAAUUACCUUGAGAUGUAACUUUGAAUUUAGAGACAUAGAAUUGAAAAAAAAAAAGUGAUGGAUAAUUUCUGGUGACAUGAAUGGACCUAUGAAAUAUGUAUUUCUUUUCUCCCCAUCUUGCAUCAACUCAUUUGAUAUUUCAGUUUGUGUAAUAGUUAAAACUCCUGGCAGAGCAGAGGCAGUAAUUGCAAACAGCUGUAAAGUAUUACUCAUCUUGCUGAUCAAAAUGACUUCCCGCUAAAUAAACCAUGAAAAAAGCUUUUCCACCCACAGAGAAGUGAAGUGUAAAUGAUAUAUAGACUCUACCAUGAAGAGAUCAACAGAUUGCAUUUUCCUAUAACUAUGGUUUUAUAUGGCUACAGUUACUUUCAAAAAUGGCUUAUAAACUCAGCUAGUCCAGGAAAAAGAACUUGGAUAAUAACAUUAAGAGAUGGCAGUGGGGAUCCUGGGAAGUGUUUGAAGUUACAAAGCUUUUGGAGAGCCAUCUUGAUUCCUCUCAGGCUUUCCAACCGAUGAAAACAACUUCAAAUGUGGUUUUAUUCAUGCUUAUUUUGGAUAUCACACCAGCUCUCUUGCCCUUCAGAGACAUUGCGUCUCAGGAACAUUAGCUGCACAUCCAUGUCUUGGUCUUUCUAUCAUGGUUUUGAAGGGUGAUGGACCCAUGGUGGUGGUAGUGUCAAUACAUUGAUGCUCCUGCCAUGGGCAUCUGACUGUGAGCUUCAGCUCCUGACAAAAGAAUAAUCUGGUGCUGGAGUCACAGAGCUGACCUCUGAUGUCACUCCAGCUACUUGCCCACACUACACUGCCAGCUCCUUGUGAUUCUCCUAAACUAAGAAAUUCACUGGGCAAUAUUCACCAAAAGACAAUAAAAACUUCUCUUCGCACUCAGACAUAAAUCUCUCUCCCCUACCUAUCUCCUUUCCCUAAAUCAAGAGUCAUCUAUAAAUUGAUACUAAACCUAUCUUUUCAGUCUUACUGCUUUUUUCAUUUUUACUUGAAAUGUAAUUGUACCUAUUUAUAGGAUACAGAGUGACAUCUCAAUGUAUGUAUAUAAUAUAUGUAUUUCUAUAUAUAUAAUGAUCAAAUCAGAGUAACUAACAUAUCCAUUACAUCAAACUAUCAUUUCUUCAUGUUGUAAACAUUCAAAAUAUUCUCUCUUAGCUUUUUCAAAAUAUACACUAAAUUACUGCUAACCAUCUUUACCCUACAGUGCUGUAGACACUAGAACUCAUUUCUCCUAUCUAGCUGUAAGUUUGUAUUUGUUAACUAACCUCUCUCUGUCCCCUCCUCCCUGCUGCUCUCCCCGGCCUGUAAUAACCAGAAUUCUACUCUCCACUUCCAUGAGCUCGGGUUUUUUUUUUUAACUCCCACAUAUGAGUGAGAACAUGCAGUAUUUAUCUUUCUGUGCCUAGCUUAUUUCACUUAACAUAGUCUUCCAGGUUCAUCCAUGUUGCAGCCAAGGACAGGAUUUCAUUAUUUUUAUGGCUAAAUAGUACUCCACUGUGAAUAUAUACUACCUUUUUAAUCUAUUUAUCUGUUUUUGGACAUUUAGGUUGAGUCUAAUCUUGGCUACUGUAAAUAGUGCUGCUAUAAACAUGAGGGUGCAGGUAUCUCCUAAAUAUGCUGAUUUCCUUUCCUGUAGAUAAAUGCCCCAUAGUGGGACUGCUGGAAAAAAAAAUUCUUUUUCUUUAAACCUGAUCAUGUCUGUCCUUAUACAUGCAUGUUAAACCCAUCUCUCACCAUCAAUGCAAGCCCACCCCGAGCAGUUGUUCCCUCUUCUCUUCCCUCAUUUUCUGCACCCCGUGUGGCUCCAUACCCCAGCCUCAGGCCUUUCUAUACCAUUUCCUAUUUGGGACACUUAGUUUUUAUUCAACUCUGGUACUGUCCUUUGAGAAUUUGCAACGUGGUUUGGCUAUGGCACUUUUUAUUAAGAUGUCACAUCAGGGUUGAUAAAUUCAAAGUAAUAUCAUUCUUUUUCCUGACAAAUUCAGCUCCUCCUUUCCACUGCACUUUCUUGCCAAUGCCACCACUCUUUCUUCUGUUGUGUAGGGAGAACACAGGUCACCUCCUUGGCAUGAAAUGUGUAGGUGCUCAAUAAAGACUUGCUGAAUACAUGAAUGAAAGUUCUUAGAGUACACCCUUGUAAUUAGACUGAUCAUUACAUAGGGGUAAGUUUUAUUCUCUAAAAGGGGUGAGUGGGAGUUUAUGCUAAGGUUGUAAGCAUUUCUCAGAGCAGACUUUGGAUGUAUAUUACAGAACUGCUGAACAUGUGGAAUGUGCAUAUUUAAUACUGAAAAUAUUUAAUGCUACAUGUGUAAGACUUUUGCCAACUGGAAUCUGAACAUCAACAACUUCGAAGGCCUUAUUCUACCUUCUCAGCACAAAAAUGCUUUUUAUGAAUGCACAUAUUUAUGUGCAAAAGUAUAGAAAAUUGACUUUAAAAUAUACAACAAAUUCAUUUUAGCAAUUGUCCCUGGGGACCUAGAAGGAGAAUGAGAUUGGGGUGGCAGGAGUGGAACAUUAGCUAAUAAUGCUUUAUUUUAUUAAAAAUAAUUACUGAAAACCAAUACAAUAAAAUAUUAACAAGUUAAUUGAGGGGGUUGGGAGUCUAGCGCUUAUAUUCUUCUUUGCAUGUUCUUAAUAUCUUUAAAAUUCCCUUUUUUGCUUUUGUUAAGGAAGUCACAGUUUAAUUGGCAGUAUAUCUAUAAUGGUACAUGAAAUAAUGUCUGAUUUCUAAACAUUGACAUCCUACAUUAGAUGAAAUAUAUUAACUAUCAAGCUUUGAUAUUACACUAUAAAAUUAAUUGGAGAAAGUCACCCCUCUUUGUUUCUUUUUUUUUGUUGUUAUUAGGUGCCCCAUAUGAUCUGCAGGAAUUUUUUUUCUAGGCUUUGAUCAUUUUAAAUGAAAUCAGAAUUUGUUAAAGUUCAGUUAACACUCAGCUGUGAACCCUACGGUACUGGGAUCUUUUUCAAUGGGAGAUCUUUAAGCAUUAUUCCAAACCAUUCUAUGCUAAUUUGUCUAUUGAUAAUUUAUGAUUUAUUAUUAAAUACAUUAAAUUUCUUAAAAAGAAAAAUCAAAGAAAUAAAGGAAUUAGCAGUUGAAAGCAAGAAAACCUAUUCUGAGCAUCAUCCAUACUUCUUGGCAACCAAAACAAUGAAAUCAAUGCCUUGGGUUAAACAGUUCCCAAUUGUCCACCAUGUUACCAGGAGAAAAAAACCCUUUAUCAUAGGGUUAAACUUUGGGAAGGAUUUUCCAUAAGAAUCCUAAUAUAAAGGUUCUUGAAUGACAUGAUGUACAAGGUCUUUGAUAGCAAUGUGACCCAAAGUGCAAAGAUGUUUUACUAGUCCUGUUGGUGCCCCAAAUUGGCUCCAGGUAAGUAAUCUGGACAUACUGUGAAAUUAUAAUUCCGUAUAGACAGUUCAACUUAAGGGGUUAGAGUGAUGCAAUUCAAAUAGAUGGCUUUCUUCUGAUCUGGCUUAACGUAAAUCUUGAAAAAUCUGGAUGAGUAAAUGUUUAAUAUAUCCUCAGUUCUCAACCACUCUUCUUCCCACAACAGACAAUAUCAUAGGGCAGGACAUCCUCCCAAGGGUACACUCAAUAUUAUGUACAGUUCCCACACAAGAAAGCACAUCAUAAUCUUAGUGAGAAUGAUGUUCUCAUAAGGUCAGUUAUACUCAGUGUGCAUAGUUGUCCUAGUGUGAGUAUGAAACCAAAUCAUUCACAAGUACCACUAGUCUGAUUAUUAGUAAUAAUCCACUUGUGAUAUAGCUUUUCUUUACUGACACAAAAUAUUGUUUGACACCAUGGUUGAAACAUUGGUCUUAGGCCAACACUCUCCAUUAUCUGUUGUUGCCAAGCCUUUGAGAGGUGUUUUAUGUGGGCAAAAGGUCCCUUCCUAUCUCUUUGGUCAAAGCAAAGGAGGAGUACAGAUGACUGAGAGAGUGAUCACGCUACUGUGCCCACCUACGAGGUAGAACUUGUUCCUGGGUUGGGAGAUGUUUUAUGACCAGGGUGCAGUAGAAAGAGCAUACAGCUAGCAGUAAAGAGAAGUGGUCCUGAUUGCAGCUCUGCCUCUAACUUCCUGAGUAACCUCAGGCUAGUCACCCAGUGACUGCUCCCCACAUUCCUUUUUGUAAGCUGCCAUGACUGAAUCAGACAAUAGCAUCUAAGUUUCUUCUGAACUCUCAUACUCAGGGAAGCCAAUGAUGUUGGCAGGAUGAGCUACAUAGUUAGUAGGACCCAGCGCAAAAUGAAAAUAUAGGGAUCCUUGAUAAAAAAUUAAGAAUUUCAAGAUGCAACAGCAGAGCAUUGUAAACUAAGCGCACAACCCUUCUGAGAUCAAGGCUUUCUGCAACUGCACAGGUCAUAGCCCUUGAAGCCAGCCUGGUGUCAGCUUCCCAUUAUGAAGCUGGUCUGUCAUUCAGGGCUCAGAAGUUGGAUCUUCCAGGCUGAAAGUGGAAGGAGAGCACAUGUUGUGCUAGUCACAGCCAGAGAUAAUGCAAAGAGGACUUAACAAGGGCCCAGGCACAACACAAAUUGUUAUGAAGAAGAGAAGAGGGCCACCUAGGGACUUAACACAAAAAUGAUCCUCUGUCCACAUCUCCUCUCCAGGUUUCAGUCAUGGUAAGGACUGUCCCAGAUUUCAGAGCCUUCAAAGAAGAUCUUAACUCUAAAACCUGGGCAAAGUCUGGGAUAGCAGUUUGUGUGCCACCUCACUCUCCUGUCUCUUUCUCUCUGAAUAAACAUCUUUUAUCAGGAAGCCCAGCAGAACACAGUCAAGAAGAAGGCAGUAACCUCUCAAGACACUAAGACUUGAUUCAGUGAUGUCAAGAAGUCAAAAGGGGGUUUGUCAACAGAGAAAAGCCAUAGCUACCCUCCAAAUUCUGCUUCUCCUAUCUUGAUCAACAGCCAGCAGCAACACAUUGCAGAUAUAAUCUCAAGACCUUGUGGCAUGUACUUGUCACUACAUGCAUAACUUACUAUGGACAGAGGAUCACGGAGAUUUUGAACAUAAUUUCCCACACGACAGGAGAUUAAAUAGACCACAUUGGAAGAAGGCAAGAAGAAGCUAGGUCUCUGGAGUACCAAAAAGUAAACUUCAGCCAGUUCUGGAAGCAGAUAAACAGCAGGAAAUAUACUUUCAGAUGGGCUACUUUCUCAAUAGUUCUUGCUUGCAAGAGCUCUAGGGAAAGUAUGAGUUACUGGGAAUAUCAGACAUUAAUGAACCAAUAGAGAAGAUACUGGGGUGCAGAAGAGCUUUCCCAGUGUCCUGGGAGCCAUUCUACACAGCACCCUGCAGCAUGACUUUGGAUCUGCUGUGCUUAGUUUCUUUACUUGUGAAAACAGAGUAAUAGUAGCACCUACCUCACAGGAUUGUUCUGAAGAUUAGAGGGAUUCUUUCAUGGAAAGCUCUAGAGCAGUGCUUGAGAGAUGUAUUCCAGAUCAUCUCAACCCACUAUCCAACCAAACAUGGAGAGCAGAGCAGCCCCAUCUCAGUUAUGGUAGCAGAU